ACGAACGCUGGCGGCGUGCCUAAUACAUGCAAGUCGAGCGGACAGAUGGGAGCUUGCUCCCUGAUGUUAGCGGCGGACGGGUGAGUAACACGUGGGUAACCUGCCUGUAAGACUGGGAUAACUCCGGGAAACCGGGGCUAAUACCGGAUGGUUGUUUGAACCGCAUGGUUCAAACAUAAAAGGUGGCUUCGGCUACCACUUACAGAUGGACCCGCGGCGCAUUAGCUAGUUGGUGAGGUAACGGCUCACCAAGGCAACGAUGCGUAGCCGACCUGAGAGGGUGAUCGGCCACACUGGGACUGAGACACGGCCCAGACUCCUACGGGAGGCAGCAGUAGGGAAUCUUCCGCAAUGGACGAAAGUCUGACGGAGCAACGCCGCGUGAGUGAUGAAGGUUUUCGGAUCGUAAAGCUCUGUUGUUAGGGAAGAACAAGUACCGUUCGAAUAGGGCGGUACCUUGACGGUACCUAACCAGAAAGACCACGGCUAACUACGUGCCAGCAGCCGCGGUAAUACGUAGGUGGCAAGCGUUGUCCGGAAUUAUUGGGCGUAAAGGGCUCGCAGGCGGUUUCUUAAGUCUGAUGUGAAAGCCCCCGGCUCAACCGGGGAGGGUCAUUGGAAACUGGGGAACUUGAGUGCAGAAGAGGAGAGUGGAAUUCCACGUGUAGCGGUGAAAUGCGUAGAGAUGUGGAGGAACACCAGUGGCGAAGGCGACUCUCUGGUCUGUAACUGACGCUGAGGAGCGAAAGCGUGGGGAGCGAACAGGAUUAGAUACCCUGGUAGUCCACGCCGUAAACGAUGAGUGCUAAGUGUUAGGGGGUUUCCGCCCCUUAGUGCUGCAGCUAACGCAUUAAGCACUCCGCCUGGGGAGUACGGUCGCAAGACUGAAACUCAAAGGAAUUGACGGGGGCCCGCACAAGCGGUGGAGCAUGUGGUUUAAUUCGAAGCAACGCGAAGAACCUUACCAGGUCUUGACAUCCUCUGACAAUCCUAGAGAUAGGACGUCCCCUUCGGGGGCAGAGUGACAGGUGGUGCAUGGUUGUCGUCAGCUCGUGUCGUGAGAUGUUGGGUUAAGUCCCGCAACGAGCGCAACCCUUGAUCUUAGUUGCCAGCAUUCAGUUGGGCACUCUAAGGUGACUGCCGGUGACAAACCGGAGGAAGGUGGGGAUGACGUCAAAUCAUCAUGCCCCUUAUGACCUGGGCUACACACGUGCUACAAUGGACAGAACAAAGGGCAGCGAAACCGCGAGGUUAAGCCAAUCCCACAAAAUCUGUUCUCAGUUCGGAUCGCAGUCUGCAACUCGACUGCGUGAAGCUGGAAUCGCUAGUAAUCGCGGAUCAGCAUGCCGCGGKAAUACGUUCCCGGSCCUUGUACACACCGCCCGUCACACCACGAGAGUUUGUAACACCCGAAGUCGGUGAGGUAACCUUUUAGGAGCCAGCCGCCGAAGGUGGGACAGAUG
rnacentral:rRNA from 1 species